rnacentral:rRNA from 1 species
GACGAACGCUGGCGGCGUGCCUAAUACAUGCAAGUCGAGCGGACUUAAAAAGCUUGCUUUUUAAGUUAGCGGCGGACGGGUGAGUAACACGUGGGCAACCUGCCUGUAAGACUGGGAUAACUUCGGGAAACCGGAGCUAAUACCGGAUAAUCCUUUCCUACUCAUGUAGGAAAGCUGAAAGACGGUUUACGCUGUCACUUACAGAUGGGCCCGCGGCGCAUUAGCUAGUUGGUGGGGUAACGGCUCACCAAGGCGACGAUGCGUAGCCGACCUGAGAGGGUGAUCGGCCACACUGGGACUGAGACACGGCCCAGACUCCUACGGGAGGCAGCAGUAGGGAAUCUUCCGCAAUGGACGAAGGUCUGACGGAGCAACGCCGCGUGAGUGAUGAAGGUUUUCGGAUCGUAAAACUCUGUUGUUAGGGAAGAACAAGUACGAGAGUAACUGCUCGUACCUUGACGGUACCUAACCAGAAAGCCACGGCUAACUACGUGCCAGCCGCCGCCGUAA